AUCGCCCGGCUUCUAAUCAAAGUUUUAAGUGUUUGGCUUUUGCCCAAGCUUUAUCUAAAUAGUGCACAGUCAUUACAGGACCGGGCAGAUACUUUCUGGGUGUUCAGUAACUGUAUUAGGAGCUACACUAAUAUUCUCAGAGGGAUGAAAAGGCAGGAUCUUCCCACCUUAACCGUAGGGACUGUAUGGCAGGCAUCUUUUAAAUGUUAGUUGUAGGAGUCUCAUUCCUUCAGAGCCACGGAUACCCCAUGUGGUGAGCUCUACCCAGUGUCCAGUCUACAAAGAGGAGGGUCAGAACAGAGGGAAAAUGUGCUCCAUGCUUUCAAGCAAGGCCUUUGACUUGUUCUCACAUAGAUGGAAAAACGAAUCUAAGGAGCCUAGAGGAGCCUGAGGACCAGAUCUUCAAAUGGCCUUGACAGGGAAACAAACAAAAAAUAUAAUUAAUUAUGGCCACAACAAUGGUCUUGAACACCCAGCAGGAAAGUAUAGCCAAGAAGUAGGAUGGUCAGCUUGUCUCCAACAGUUUAAGGCAGUGGUUCCCAACCUGUAGGUCGCACCCAUUGGAAAACACUUAUUUCUGAUGAUCUUAGGAACUGAGACAUCACUCAGUAGCAAAAAUAUAAUUAUGAAGUAGUGAUGAAAAUAAAUUUAUAGUUGAGGGUUCCUAAGGCCAUUGGGAAUGUGUUUUCUGGUAGUCGGUACCCACAGGCUGAGAACUGCGGGUCUAGCAUCACACCCCUGUACCUUAGCCUUAGAUCCGUGUGAGAUGCUUACAGGUCCAAUUACAGUGCAUUAAUAGGGCACUCUGCCCUUGCCUGAAGUCCUCCUUCACUGCGGCACCCACCAGCCAAAAGAGGCCGGCCUAAAAAAGGAAGCUAGAAAAAUCAAACGACAGCUAAAUUUCUUCUCUUUCUGCCUCUCUAGAAGCUGCGUGGGGGGACCUCGAAGUGAGUCUAUCCGCUCAGACAGCACUGAAAGCCUGGAAGCAGAUCCCGGGCUUAACACUCGGGCCAGCUGUCGAUGUGGGACUUUCCUGGGAACGGCUGCCCUACAAGUGCAGGUCUGGCAGGAAUGCCAGCCCCUCCAGUGACCCCAGUCUACACAGUGCUGCAACAGGGUCCUCUUCAGAACCACCGCACUGAAGGUUGCAGCCUAGGGGGCAGAGCUGUGGGGGAUGCCAUCACCUGUGCUUCAUGAGCAGCUAAGAUGGGCUUCAGUCACUUCCUGGACUAAUCCUUGUAAGGAGGAAUGGAGCUGCCCCUCAGCACGGUACCCAAGAAGGAAAGUUUCCUAAACAGUAUUAUUCUUGUUUUAUUCACAACAGCUACAAAAACAUGCAAUAACUGGGAAUACAUACUGAAUACAGCAGGAGCUUUUUAUCUUAGUGCAUCAGUUCCCAACACUCAUCACCCGAAAAAGAAACCCUGUGCUUUAGCAGCCAUUCUCCCCACCACCACUACCACAACCAAUCUUGUUUUCUCAUCACCUUCCCCCUCCGUGAAUAUGAGUGGAAGCCAGGGCUUCAUAAAUGCUAAGCAGGCACUCUGCCAAUGAGCCCCAUUUCAUCCCAGACCUGUCUCAUUUCUCUUGUUAUACAAAGGGUCUUACUCUGUAGCUCAGCCUGGUCCUGGAUUUGUGGGCAAUCUUCCUGCUUCUACAAGGACGGCAAGUGUGCACACCAUACGCUAUGGACUUCUGAGAUAUAGGGUCUUAAUAUGUUAUAUGUUUCAUUCCAGCCUCUGCAUUAGACCCUUGGCCUACUCCACUGCUCCUAUGGCUGAAUGACAUCUAUAGUAGAUGAACCACCUUUUGUUUAGACACUCAUCAGUUGGUGAACAAUAAUGUACAUACACCCCUGUCAGUACUAAUAUGUACUUUUAACACAAAAAGCAGAUUAUGAAUGACAGUCUUGGACAGAAUGGGUGUCAACCCAAAGUUUGGAUGUUGAAGCUCUAACUUCCUAGUGUGUCUACGCCUAGAACAGUCAGAUUAGAUAGGAUUAUCUCUGACAUCUGAUCUCACAGGACUUCCAAUUUUCCUUUUCAGACAGGGUCUCAUAUGUAUCCCAGGCUGACCUUGAACUCGCUAAGUAGAGGAUUUUGAAUUACUAAAUUCUCCUGCUUCUACCUGGUGCUGGGACAAGGAAUGUAUUACCAUGCCGGGUUACUGAAGAUGGAUCCCAGGGUCUCAUGAAUGCCAGGAGAGCACUCUAACAACUGAGCUCAAGCUCCAGAAAUUAUACUAUAAUAUGUUGUCACUGAGACACCCCAGGAGGCUUAUCAAAUUUGCUCUCUGUGUGAACAGCAAGAAGACAGUCAUCUGCAUGAUAGGAAAGUCCCCUAUCCUAAAACCAGUAUGUCAGCCUUGGUCCCAGACUCUAAUAAAAUAUAUGUAUAA